GCCGUCAUAGCUCAGUUGGGAGAGCGACAGACUGAAGAUUACGCAAUCAAAAAGAUUACAUAAUCGGUUUCUGCAGGUCACCCGUUCGAUCCGGGUUGACGGCA